rnacentral:rRNA from 1 species
AUUGAACGCUGGCGGCAGGCCUAACACAUGCAAGUCGAGCGAGCGGCGGACGGGUGAGUAAUGUAUGGGAAUCUGCCCGAUAGAGGGGGAUAACUUCUGGAAACGGUGGCUAAUACCGCAUACUAUCGGAUGCACCCAUAUGGGAUUAGCUAGUAGGUGGGGUAAAGGCUCAUCUAGGCGACGAUCUCUAGCUGGUCUGAGAGGAUGCUAAGCGGCACUGGAGCGGAGACACGGCCCAUACUCCUACGGGACGCAGCAGUGGGGAAUGUGGGACAACGGGCGCGAGCCUGAUGCAGCCAUGCGGCGUGUAUGGAGAAGGCCUUAGGUUUGUAAAGUACUUUCAGCGGGGAUGCGUUACCCGCAGAAGAAGCACCGGCUAACUCCGUGCCAGCAGCCGCGGUAAUAC